rnacentral:rRNA from 1 species
GUGGGGAAUAUUGGACAAUGGGCGCAAGCCUGAUCCAGCCAUGCCGCGUGAGUGAUGAAGGCCUUAGGGUUGUAAAGCUCUUUCAGUGGGGACGAUAAUGACGGUACCCACAGAAGAAGCCCCGGCUAACUUCGUGCCAGCAGCCGCGGUAAUACGAAGGGGGCUAGCGUUGUUCGGAUUUACUGGGCGUAAAGUGCACGUAGGCGGAUCGUUAAGUCGGGGGUGAAAUCCUGGAGCUCAACUCCAGAACUGCCUUCGAUACUGGCGAUCUUGAGUCCGGAAGAGGUGAGUGGAACUCCUAGUGUAGAGGUGGAAUUCGUAGAUAUUAGGAAGAACACCAGUGGCGAAGGCGGCUCACUGGUCCGGUACUGACGCUGAGGUGCGAAAGCGUGGGGAGCAAACAGGAUUAGAUACCCGGGUAGUCC